rnacentral:tmRNA from 1 species
CACCCUGUGAUACAGGCCGAGAGGGAGUCCACUCUCGUAAAUCUAGGCUCAAACAAAAAGUAAAUGCGAACAACAUCGUUCCUUUCGCUCGUAAAGCAGCUCCCGUAGCCGCUUAAUUUAACAAAAUGCGAGCGUCCGCAGCUUGACUCCGUUAAGGGCUGUGGACCAACCCCCAACGGAUGCUCCUUCUGGUUUUCUCUGGUUAACCGGUUGGCUAAGACUUAAUCAGAGACUCUUGUCGCUAGGAAUAAUUAGCGAACCCCGCCUAGAGGGUUAGAUAGGCUAAGCCUGUGAAUGAGUGGGAUGUUAAUACUCAGAGCGGACACGGGUUCGACUCCCGUCAGCUCCAUUU